GAUUAGAUACCCUAUUAUUUUUGGAUGUUAAUGUUUUGCCUGAGUAGUAUUAGUUAUGUUCUUGAAACUUAAAGAAUUUGGCGGUAUCUUAUUCCGUUCAGAGGAACCUGUCUCGUUAUCGAUAGUCCGCGUUGGACCUUACUUAGUUGUUUAUUGGUUUGUAUACCGCCGUUUAUUGAUUAUCUUUUUAGAGUUGUUUAAUUUUCUUGUUCCUUUAUUUGGUUUAAUUUCAGGUCAAGGUGCAGCUUUCUCUAAGUGUAUUGGUGGGUUACAUUGUUAUUUGUUGUUUUUGGAUUGUUGGUUUUAAUUACUGGCAUGAAAUUGGAUUUGAUUGUAAUUUUUUGAAGAUUGUUUUUGUGAUAAUUGGUUCUGAGAUAUGUACACAUCGCCCGUCGCUCUCGUUUUAUUUGUUAAUGAGAUAAGUCG
rnacentral:rRNA from 1 species